AGCAUCACCGGUACUUGAUUGCACAUUGGUGCCACCUGUUUAAUUACUGCUCUCUCCUUGGGCACACUUUCUCUUGCCGUUCAUCUGGCAGGGCUCUGUUUGGCGUGCUCCGUUUGCUUGGUGGGUUUGGAGAGCUUCAUCUGUGGUCAUUUUCAAGCUGUUAAAGCCACAGUGGUUCCUCCAUUUCUCCUCCUGUGCUCCGUGGGAGGCUGCACUGCAAGCCCGGGGACGUGCACCACAGCGGCUAUCUAAACGAAAACCAUUCAUGGCCUCCAUCCUUGGUGCAGUCGCCUCGUCUUCGCCGUCCUUUUCUCACAGUCCUCUGUGGGCUCCUGUUGUGGCUGCUUUCCACGCAGUGCUGGACUCUCAGCCCCACCUCAACCUCUGACAGGAGCUGGUGCAGUGUGUGGCAGACUUCCCUGGUGGUGGUCCCCAUCUCACAUCCCUUAAUAUUGCUGUGGCACGUGGUGAUUUGGUUUGUAGUGUUUUGCAUGGUUUGAGUUGAUUUAUUCUGCCCACCUCGCUAAGUCUUAGCCCUGUUCCUUUUUUUGUUUGUUUUCUGAAAAAUAUUGUGGAACACUCAGGUUGUGACAUAUCUGUGCUCCUUUAAGUCUAGCAAAUCAUUGUUAAAUAAAAUUUGGUAUUUUUGGAA